UAGAAAGGAGCGGUUAGCAAUUUCAUUGUUAAUGAAACGGAGUAUUUUAUGUACGGCUAG
rnacentral:tRNA from 1 species